rnacentral:rRNA from 1 species
AUUGAACGCUGGCGGCAUGCCUAACACAUGCAAGUCGAGCGGAGCGGCGGACGGGUGAGUAAUGUCUCGGAAUCUGCCUGGUAGUGGGGGAUAACUUCCGGAAAGGGGCGCUAAUACCGCAUACUAUCAGAUGAGCCUAGGUCGGAUUAGCUAGUUGGUGGGGUAAAGGCCUACCAAGGCGACGAUCCGUAACUGGUCUGAGAGGAUGAUCAGUCACACUGGAACUGAGACAGGGUCCAGACUCCUACGGGAGGCAGCAGUGGGGAAUAUUGGACAAUGGGGGAAAGCCUGAUCCAGCCAUGCCGCGUGUGUGAAGAAGGCCUUCGGGUUGUAAAGCACUUUCAGCGGGGAGGCGUUACCCGCAGAAGAAGCACCGGCUAACUCCGUGCCAGCAGCCGCGGUAAUUC